rnacentral:rRNA from 1 species
GAUGAACGCUGGCGGCGUGCCUAAUACAUGCAAGUCGAGCGAACAUAUGAGGAGCUUGCUCCUCUGACGUUAGCGGCGGACGGUUUAGUCACACGUGGAUAACCUACCUAUAAGACUGGGAUAACUUCGGGAAACCGGCGCUAAUACCGGAUAAUAUAUUGAACCGCAUGGUUCAAUAUUGAUUGACGGUUUUGCUGUCACUUAUAGAUGGAUGCGGGCUGUAUUAGCUAGUUGGUAAGGUAACGGCUUACCAAGGCAACGAUGCGUAGCCGACCUGAGAGGGUCAUCGCCCACACUGGAACUGAGACACAGUCCACACACCUACAGUAGGAAACAGUAGGGAAUCUUACGCAAUGCACCAAAGCUUAACGUAACAACACCGCGUGAAUCAUGAAGGUCUUCUGAUCGUAAAACUCUGUUAUUAGUAAAGAACAAAUGUGUAAUUAACUAUGCACAUCUUGACGGUACCUAAACAAAAAGCCACGGCUAACUACGUG